rnacentral:rRNA from 1 species
GCAGUCGACGGUACAGGAAGAAGCUUGCUUCUUUGCUGACGAGUGGCGGACGGGUGAGUAAUGUCUGGGAAACUGCCUGAUGGAGGGGGAUAACUACUGGAAACGGUAGCUAAUACCGCAUAACGUCGCAAGACCAAAGAGGGGGACCUUCGGGCCUCUUGCCAUCGGAUGUGCCCAGAUGGGAUUAGCUUGUUGGUGGGGUAACGGCUCACCAAGGCGACGAUCCCUAGCUGGUCUGAGAGGAUGACCAGCCACACUGGAACUGAGACACGGUCCAGACUCCUACGGGAGGCAGCAGUGGGGAAUAUUGCACAAUGGGCGCAAGCCUGAUGCAGCCAUGCCGCGUGUAUGAAGAAGGCCUUCGGGUUGUAAAGUACUUUCAGCGGGGAGGAAGGGAGUAAAGUUAAUACCUUUGCUCAUUGACGUUACCCGCAGAAGAAGCACCGGCUAACUCCGUGCCAGCAGCCGCGGUAAUACGGAGGGUGCAAGCGUUAAUCGGAAUUACUGGGCGUAAAGCGCACGCAGGCGGUUUGUUAAGUCAGAUGUGAAAUCCCCGGGCUCAACCUGGGAACUGCAUCUGAUACUGGCAAGCUUGAGUCUCGUAGAGGGGGGUAGAAUUCCAGGUGUAGCGGUGAAAUGCGUAGAGAUCUGGAGGAAUACCGGUGGCGAAGGCGGCCCCCUGGACGAAGACUGACGCUC